rnacentral:rRNA from 1 species
GGAAUAUUGGACAAUGGGGGCAACCCUGAUCCAGCCAUGCCGCGUGUGUGAAGAAGGCUUUCGGGUUGUAAAGCACUUUCAGUGGGGAAGAAGGCCUUGGGCUUAAUACGCUUGAGGAAGGACAUCACCCACAGAAGAAGCACCGGCUAACUCCGUGCCAGCAGCCGCGGUAAUACGGAGGGUGCGAGCGUUAAUCGGAAUUACUGGGCGUAAAGCGCACGUAGGCGGUUUGUUAAGCAAGAUGUGAAAGCCCAGGGCUCAACCUUGGAAUAGCAUUUUGAACUGGCAGACUAGAGUUUUGAAGAGGGUGGUAGAAUUUCCAGUGUAGCGGUGAAAUGCGUAGAUAUUGGAAGGAAUACCAGUGGCGAAGGCGGCCACCUGGUCAAAAACUGACGCUGAGGAGCGAAAGCGUGGGGAGCA